AAGGUGAGAACGAGAUACAAGGUCGU
rnacentral:sRNA from 1 species